ACAUGCGGCGCGCCCAGCAUGGCACAGCCCGGCACUGUGCUCAGCGUCUUCGCCAUGGUCCUGCACACCGCCCUGGGGGAAAGUGGUUGCACCUCAGCAGACGGUGAUGGGACUCUUGGGGAUGAUGAACCAGACAAUUUUGACAUUGACUGCUUCAGCCAGCUGGAAAUUAAGGACUCCUUUAGCAGCCUGACCUGCAAUUUCACCGAGCUGCCUCCUUACAACACUAACUACACCCUGUCACUGUGUACCAAGGAAGACAACAAUUAUGCCUGCUCCAACAUGAAGAAACAGGAAGAUGUAUUCUUCUUACAGUUCAUUGAUAUACUCUCAAACAGAGAUGUUUGCAUGUACUCUGAGAUGAAGAGAAGGGUCUGCAGGAGUCUGGUUAUAACUGACAUUGUUAAGCCCGAAGUUCCAUUCGCUAUAAACAUCACAUAUGAAAGGGAGGCAAAUGAAUAUCUUAUUCGUUACUGUACACCACACUCCAGGAAAAAAUACUUAAAGGACAAAUUAGUACACCAAGUAGCCUAUCGGCAGAAAGAAGGUAGUUGGAAGACAAUAGAGUCACCAUAUCUUCAGGUAAAACUGCUGGGGAAAAACCUUGAAAAUGAAGCAUCAUAUGAGGUGAAAGUACGUUCUCAGCCCAAUGGAGAUUAUUUUAAGGGCACAUGGAGUGAAUGGAGCACUUCCAAGAGCUUCAGGACAGCGCGAGAGCAGCACUCCACAGAAAGCUAUAGCAGUGUGGCCAUGGUUAUACUCUCCAUCCUGGGAUUCAUGCUGUCUGUUGCUAUGAUUGCACUGAUCGUAGUUUUUUGGGAAAACAGGAUCAAGCCUGCUGUAUGGCCAAACCUUCCUGACCAUAAAAAAACGCUGGAGCAGCUAUGCAAGAAGCCAAAAAACAAUUUUGAUACAAGCUUUAACCCAGAGAGUUUUGGUUAUGUUCAUAUCCAUAAAGUGGAUGGGCUUUGGGCAAAAGCUGAACUGGAAAAUUUUCUGCAGCCAUCAACUACUCCAGAGACAAGCCUUCCAGAAAAAUUCAGGAGUGGAUCAGACCUGAAGAUGAUCCCUACAAUGGCAGACAAAAUCAACCUAAACCUGCCAGUGUCUUACGAAGUCCUGCACAGGCUCCUGGGCACCAGCCAGCGUGCAGUCACUGAGGGCAGCUGCAGCUCCAGCACCUAUGAGGUUUGCCACGGCAACAGGGUGCCCCUGCACAACGAUGGUUUCAGCCUUUCCCCCACUUAUCCCCUUGAUCCUUCUGGCCAGCCCCAUCCAGAGCCCCUUAAUGACGACACCAUAUCCCAGAUGCUGCCUAACAGUGACAUGAGAUCACCAAACAAUGAGGAAGCCUAUGUCACAAUGUCCAACUUCUACAAAAUUCAGUAAAUCUCACAAGAAUUACAGCAUGCAAUUUUUUCUCUAACACAAGCAGGAUACUGAAGCUUUCUGGCUUUGUUUUCCUAUAUCCUUCCUUGGAUGCUGCACAUUCUGGAGCACACAUUUGGAGAUAAAGCUGCUACAGCCACACAGUUGCAUGACAGCAAAACGGCGUGGCCACGGGACAUCCAAGCUGCUUUCUUGCACUCUGGACUUGGGGUUUACCUCACUGUGCAGUCUCAGUUCCUCUAGCUCUUUGAAAUUCUCCUUUACCUAGUUAUAUUCACAUUCCCAGAGUCUGAGGGUGAAAAGAGUCCUCUGUUAUCCUCAGAGGAUGAGAUGCUCAGAUUUGUUCUGACUGCUAAUGGUCACGGAGAUGUUGCAAAACCUCAGCUGCAAAACCUUCCAUCUGCCUCUGCCGAGACAGCUUUGUGCCAGGAGACCAGCGGAAUGAAUCAGAUCUGAAAAUCUCUUGUGGCCUUGUUUCAAGAAUAUAUGGCAGAGAGUGGGGCUUGCAUUAAACUCAGUUGCUUGAAUCAGAAUUUAAUGCUGCAGGAGACAGUACAAACCAAGCAGCAAUUCUGGACCACAUCAAGCCAAAACCAACCUUCCCAAGACAGCACUCCAUCUCCUCCACCUCCACCCAGCACCAGGGAAACUUUCGAGUGGGGAGAACCUAACAGCUGCUGUGUGUAAAGGGGCCUCAGAUUUGGCUCAAGGCAUUCCAGUGACAUUAUACAGAAUGAGUUUUAUUGCUGUUUACCGCCAAAGAAAGCAUUAAUUGAUGCAGAAGAAAAAGAUCAAAGCCCUGAGCAUUCAUUUGCUUUAUAGUGCUUUUAUUUCCUUUCAAAAAGUGCUGCUGAUAAUGCUUAUACUGUGAGAACUUGCACAGUGUGACUGUAGAUACAGACAGACUAUACUAGAACGAUACCUUCUUCCAGUGACAAACAAAAAGGGGAUAGAGGAAGAAGCAAAAGCACGUCAGGAAAAUUCUUUGCAGUAUGUGCUAUGCUUCCUUCAAUUUUUGUAAUUCUGUAACACAUUUGUUCGAUGUAUGCAGAUACAACUACUUUCAGCUUUGGUUCGGGAAGAAAUAAAUAAAGCCAAGUAUGCACCAAAGCCAGAAAACCACAAGCAUUUCCUGUCUAUGGCCAACUUAUAUUUAGUCCAUAUAUGAGGAUACAGCCAUGGCUAUAUCUGGGCAAUCUGUCAAGUAGUUUCCUUAUUCUACAUGACAAUUUCUCCAGAGCUGUCUACAAAUUCCUAUCUGCCUCAGUAACCACACAGGAGUAUUUCUCAGCUUUCACAUACUCCAUGUACUUCCUUUAGUUCAGCAUAACUUUCCUUCUCCUCCUUCUGCCUCCAGUGCUCUUACUCAGCUGCUCACCCAGACCCAGCUUGCUGGCACUGAUUUCUCUGUAGCUGCUUUAUGACACAGUGCCUGGAGCUGCUGUGUGCCCGCUGGGCUCCAGCCCCUCUCCUGCAGUCGUGGUGCCACACAGAUGCCCUCCCUCCCAUCUUUGCACUCUCCUGCACUAUGCAAAUGUCUCUUAGCUGUACACAAAUAAACUUAGACUAUUGUCAGUUAUAA